AUUGGACGCUGGCGGCAGGCUUAACACAUGCAAGUCGAGCGGAGAUGAGGUGCUUGCACCUUAUCUUAGCGGCGGACGGGUGAGUAAUGCUUAGGAAUCUGCCUAUUAGUGGGGGACAACAUUCCGAAAGGAAUGCUAAUACCGCAUACGUCCUACGGGAGAAAGCAGGGGAUCUUCGGACCUUGCGCUAAUAGAUGAGCCUAAGUCGGAUUAGCUAGUUGGUGGGGUAAAGGCCUACCAAGGCGACGGUCUGUAGCGGGUCUGAGAGGAUGAUCCGCCACACUGGGACUGAGACACGGCCCAGACUCCUACGGGAGGCAGCAGUGGGGAAUAUUGGACAAUGGGGGGAACCCUGAUCCAGCCAUGCCGCGUGUGUGAAGAAGGCCUUAUGGUUGUAAAGCACUUUAAGCGAGGAGGAGGCUACUGAGACUAAUACUCUUGGAUAGUGGACGUUACUCGCAGAAUAAGCACCGGCUAACUCUGUGCCAGCCGCCGCGGUAAUAC
rnacentral:rRNA from 1 species